AACAACUCUUACAGAUGGGGAACACCAACGGCUACCUGCCCGAAGCAGUUGUCGUGGUCCGAGGCUUUCCACGUUCCUCUGUCGAAGAUUUCGCAGGAGGACUGCUAUGGGGAGUUCACUUCUCUAAGGUAAACUUGGGUUAGCCUGCAGUUCUUCACAAAUUUAAGAAAAUUGGAAAAAGGAAAAAAAACAGGGGAAACAGGGAGAGGAAAAGAUAAAGAACAUAGAACGAUAUUACUUAUCAAAGUCUGAUGCUUUAUGCCUUAAUGUUUGCUUCCUCAGGAAAGUGAUGGUGGAAUUCGCAGAAGCAAUGUCGAAGCUAGCAGGAGUGCUUGCAGGGGUCUUAGCAGAAAACUUGGGCCAUUCAAGUGGGAAUUUCGCAGACAUCUGUCAAGAGAGCAGUUGCUUUCUUCGACU
rnacentral:lncRNA from 1 species